rnacentral:rRNA from 1 species
UACAGAGGGGGCAAGCGUUGUUCGGAAUUACUGGGCGUAAAGGGCGCGUAGGCGGCCUGCUAAGUCGAACGUGAAAUCCCCGGGCUCAACCCGGGAACUGCGUCCGAUACUGGUUGGCUUGAAUCCGGGAGAGGGAUGCGGAAUUCCAGGUGUAGCGGUGAAAUGCGCAGAUAUCGGGAGGAACACCAAUGGCGAAGGCAGCUCGCUGGGACGGUACUGACGCUGAGACGCGAAAGCGUGGGGAGCAAACAGG